AAUCAAAGUGCAAGAAAUCAUAUAGCUCUUACUGAGGGAAGGAGGUUGUUUGCCAAGAUCUCAUGAUACAUGGCCCCAUCCAUCCUCCCCUCAAUACGGUGAAGUCGUCCAGUCCCCUUUGCAGAAAAGCAUCCCAGUAGAAUGAUGUUUCCAGAGGGGCCAAAGUUUUAGAAGAAACCUAGAGAGGAACCUGGCUUGGAGGGGUGACCAUUGCUUUUCUGUCUGUGCCGUGUGAACAUUUAAAGAGUAUAAGUUCAUUUUAAGAGUAUAAGAAUGUAAGUAGAGUGGCAGCAUGAAUCGGGUAUCAUUUAUCUGCAACAUAUCCAGAAGGACUUUGGCCAGUGUAAGCAACAACUCUAUAGAGCCUGGUUUUCGGGAGGUGGGGGCCAAGACCUCACGUCUUCCUAUGUUUGAACGGAGCAGGAGACAAGAACAUUUUGAGAGUCCACUCCUUAGGUUUACAGUGGAGAAGGACAACUGAAAAUGUAUUUAUUAUUAUAUCCUUAUUUAUUGAUUAUACUGUUUUAAGAUCUUUGUACUCUGUAUGCUUGAAGCGUCACAUGUAUUAAAAUACUUUCUGUUGAAGCAACUCAUGAUAUCUGUAUCUAUAUUCAGGGCCAGUAUUGAGUGGAAUGUCAGCUGUGCAGGGCCUGGGCUCCAAAACCAUCAGAACUGUCCAUGAAGGGAGAACUCUUAACAGCAGCAGGGGGUUCUUGUUACCUGUACUGUACAGGUGAAUGAGACCCUACCCCUUAUGGGGAGUGCCAAGUUAGCAGAAAACCCAUACAGUAACUGUCCAGGUUGAUAAAUGUCAUCUUUUGACUGGGUUGUCGGGGCAACCAACAUUCUAUGAUUAUAUAGGCCUCCUGGAGCCAUGUCUGUGUGCAACGUUGCAUUUCAUAGUCUACAUCGUGGCAAUCUUGUUGUUACACUCCCAGUGGAGUGCUGGAUUAGCAGGAAGUGGGGAGCUGUUUUGUAUUGUUAAUCAACAUUUAAAUAUAUUAUUGUACUUUAGAAAAGAAAAACAUGUCACUAAGUUCAAAUCAGUGUGUCUGGGUUUCCAGGUAGUAAGGGUGUUCAUAUCACAGUGGUACAGAACAGAGUCUGUCACAAAGCACUAUUCGCCUUAUUCACCUACGGCACUUCCUUUAAACCAAAACGAGGCUGUGGGGUACGGAAGUAACGUUGGCCCGCCCAUCUGUAGACUUCUGUCAUAACGUUACCUACAAUGCCGCCACAUUGUUGUGUUCCCAAACGUACGUCUUCAAAGAGAAAGAAAUCCUAUACAGGUCAAACCUUCCAUCGUUUCCCCAAAGAUCCUGUACUUGGCCGUGAAUGGAUUCAUAAAAUAAGAAGAGACCCCGGUCGCCAUUUCAAGGUAAGAUAUUAACAUUAGUUUAAGAUGCUAACGUUAGCCAUAUUUAUGUUAACUGUCAUAGAGAUAGCUAGCUAAACCUUCUGGCUAAAUAGACAUGACUUAAUGGACCUUAUUCACCGCGCCUCCAUCUUGAAAUCCAAAACGAGGCUGGGGGGUACACUGUAACCGGAAGUUCAUUGACAGAGCGCAGCAGCGGGCGUCUAUCAUCAUGGCGAUACCUUUGUGGACAUCAAAUCUUUCAUGUCUUCCCAACAUAACAGUGGACUAUGUCGAAAAAUGGGCCAAUAAGGACUGCAUGAUUCCCCGGGCUGUUUUGCUUAGAGGAUACAGCAACUGGAUCGAGGGAUAUGUGCACGACGUGGAAGGUAAUGCACGGACGAUCACAGCUUUUUUUCUGAAAUCAGCAUUAGUUAACGUUACUGUUGAAGUUAGCUUGUUAGCUAGAAAAAACAACAGGACGUGACAACAUUACAAGCUGAUGCAAAGCAUUGUUAAGAUAUAUUAACCACACCAGCCUGACUAUUAUUUUGAGUGUUAACAAUAAAUUAUUUUGCCGACAGUCAAGGCGAGCGAGACAGUCAGUGUGAGAGCUAAGUCUUUUCGCUCAAUGCGAAAAAACGAGGCACCUUACAACAUUCAGGUAUCAUGACUGUGGACAAACUGCUCGGUUUGUGGAGUGGUGCCACUGCUAGAACAAAUACGCUUGCUGUUUAUCCACUGUUUAUACGUAGUUGUGUGCUUAACAUGGUCUAGAUUAGCAAUGGUUAUUAUCAUAAACAGGCACAGAUCACGUCUUGUUUAUAUUUUGCUGUAAGACCCCAGAGAGCAAAAAAUAUCCGCAAGACUUCUUUUUGCCGCCGGCCCUUAGCUGUCGGCUAUAGGUGCGUCCUGCUGGCGGGGAUGAAACGUUUGCCGCCGAAUACGUCACUCCCAUUUCUUGCGAGAUUUUUUGACUGCUUCAUUAUCUCUGGCGGUUGCCUUGGUCUAAAGGACCGCGGUCCUUCGGCGGCAAGACGCUUUUAAAUAGGCUACUCUCAAAAUCGACCGGCCAUGUUGGUUUGGACACACAUUCACAUCAGUUCGUUGCUCAAUCGCGAGUUACAGUCUGCUAGCUAGCAAAGUCAUCGACUACCAUCGUUUAAAUACCUUGGCCAGAGCAUAACCGAUUAUCUUCACCCAAGAGACCUACUGUUCGUCAAUCGUUUUGGUUUUAAAGAAGUUGCAUUGAUUCCAGAAAACCAGGAAAAUGUUGAGCCAUCUGUAGACUUCAGAGUUGAACCAGGUUUCUCCCCAGUAAUCCAGACUCCACUUCAGAGCCAAGAGUUUGAGUACAAGGCACUUGACUUUCUGGAUAAAAGGUGUGGAGUUCAUCAAGUACUAAACUUUACACCCCCAGCAGAAAAUGUACCCUGGCAGCAAAUGGGUGAAAAGGCUGGAGGAGAAACUCAUCGCUCCGUUAUUGGCCCUUGGACUCCCCUGGCAUCGCAUGUACAGCAUGAAGUUUUCAGCAAUGAAGGUAUAUUCUAGGCCUAUGUCCUAAUGUCCAGUUUUUUAACAGUUUUGAAAAUAGUGCCUUUAGUUUUCCAGAACGAGAACCAAGCCCUGAGGGAGGAGAACCAAGCCCUGAGGGAGGAGAACCAAGCCCUGAGGGAGGAGAACCAAGCCCUGAGGGAGGAGAACCAUGCCCUGAGGGAGGAGAACCAUGCCCUGAGGGAGGAGAACCAUGCCCUGAGGGAGGAGAACCAUGCCCUGAGGGAGGGGAGCCAUGCACGAGCAGCUUCGGGUGACAGCGGCUCGCUUCAAGAGCAGGUGAAGCAAUUUGGGACAAUGCUGAAGAUGUUUGCUCGCACUGGGCAAUCAGGUGCAGAUCAGACCUUAGUGCUGCGACGUCUUGGAGAGUUUGGCGAUGUUGUGCGUAGCAUGGAAAACAAAAUGGACACUAUGCUGCAACAUUUCAGUGCCAAUGUGUCUGUUGGAGAGCUAUCCCUGCCAGGGGAUGUUACUCCCCCUAGACACCCAGGAAGAUUUGGUGUUUCUUGACAGCAUUUUGAGGGAGGAUAAAGAGCUCCAGGAACGAUUUCUUCGGUUUUUGGCUAUCAAAUGUGGGAGGGACCUGAAGACAACAGUGUGGAGAAUGCUUCAGAGGGCCCUCCGGAAGAACCCGGCAACCCAGGAUGCCACUGAUGAGGCGGUCCAGGUUAACGUUACACGUUACCUGAAAGGAGCAUCAGACCGUGAAGGAGGAAAAAGCCGCCCAGCUGAGAAGGACCCACAGCCAACCCCUUAAACCUAGGCUGACUACUGACACCCCAGCAUCCCUGAACUGGAACACUUUCUUUAUCCUGCAGUCAGUAACAUCAAGAAGCCAGAAGUGCCAGACUACACUCACCAAACCCACCCUGUUUUUAUUUGUAUUAACUUUAGUAUUGGCUUAUUUCAUUCCAUCUUAACGAUUCUAUUAUAGUUUGUAAAUCCUAUUUCAUACCUGUUACUUGAUAUUGCGCAUUAACUAGUACCAACAUUCUACUUUCAUUUCAUCACUAUGCUUAACUGUUAUUCAAUUAAUAAUAGCUUGGAAAUACUAUUUCGUACCUCUGAUACUUGAUAUUGCACAGUACCUGGUACCAAAUAUUCUACUUACUCUGUUUUUAACAUCAGCAUUUUUCAUUCCAUCACAGUGCUUAACUGUUAUUCUAUUGUUAAAUAUAGCUUGUAAAUCCUCGUGCCACAGGUCAGCAUUGCAGUUAUAAUGGUCUGUUCUACUACUGUUUUUACCUCUGUAUUUUUAUAUAUGUAUAUCAAGUUUUGUUUAUCACAGAUACAAGAGACACAUCUUAAUGCAGCAUGGUGUAAAUAUUGUGAUCCAGGUCAGCAAUGCCAUUAUAAUGGAAUAUUCUACUCUAGAGCUUUACUCAAUGGCUUGAAAAUGUGAUGUUCUACCUCGUUUUAUUUGGUAUCCUGCACAUUCUUUGGUACCAAAUAUCCUCAUUACUUGUUAGGUUUACUGGUAAUUAUUUUCAUCCCAGAGCUGACCUCUAUAUUAUUAACAAUGAUUGUGUUUGUGUUAUAAUUUGCUUGUAUGGCUGUUCUUUUUUUUUAACCAACAUUUUAUUGGAAACCUGCAUGUUCUGUGUGUAUUUAUGUUUAUUUUUUUUCUGCCUAUUAUUUAUUUCAGUGAUCUGACACAUCUUGUUUGAAUGACAGUUACUGUACUUUGAAAUGUGGAAUUAAAA
ensembl:lncRNA